GAGUUUGAUCAUGGCUCAGAUUGAACGCUGGCGGCAGGCCUAACACAUGCAAGUCGAGCGGAUGACGGGAGCUUGCUCCUUGAUUCAGCGGCGGACGGGUGAGUAAUGCCUAGGAAUCUGCCUGGUAGUGGGGGACAACGUUUCGAAAGGAACGCUAAUACCGCAUACGUCCUACGGGAGAAAGCAGGGGACCUUCGGGCCUUGCGCUAUCAGAUGAGCCUAGGUCGGAUUAGCUAGUUGGUGGGGUAAUGGCUCACCAAGGCGACGAUCCGUAACUGGUCUGAGAGGAUGAUCAGUCACACUGGAACUGAGACACGGUCCAGACUCCUACGGGAGGCAGCAGUGGGGAAUAUUGGACAAUGGGCGAAAGCCUGAUCCAGCCAUGCCGCGUGUGUGAAGAAGGUCUUCGGAUUGUAAAGCACUUUAAGUUGGGAGGAAGGGCAGUAAGUUAAUACCUUG
rnacentral:rRNA from 1 species